rnacentral:snRNA from 1 species
UACGCUUCUCGGCCUUUUGGCUAAGAAUCAAGUGUUAGUACUCUGUCUUAUCAGUUUAAUAUCUGAUACGUCCCCCACGGGGGCUCUACAUAUAAAUGGAUUUUUUACGACAAGGAGUCGGUAAGCGGGGCUUGCUCCGGUCCCGACUCCACGCAUCGACUCGGUAUUGCAAGUACCUCCGAGAACGGUGCACCCUCU